rnacentral:rRNA from 1 species
GGGGAAUAUUGCACAAUGGGGGAAACCCUGAUGCAGCAACGCCGCGUGAGUGAUGAAGGCCUUCGGGUCGUAAAGCUCUAUCAGCAGGGAAGAAAAUGACGGUACCUGACUAAGAAGCCCCGGCUAACUACGUGCCAGCAGCCGCGGUAAUACGUAGGGGGCAAGCGUUAUCCGGAUUUACUGGGUGUAAAGGGAGCGUAGACGGCACUGCAAGUCUGGAGUGAAAGCCCGGGGCUCAACCCCGGGACUGCUUUGGAAACUGGGGUGCUAGAGUGCAGGAGAGGUAAGUGGAAUUCCUAGUGUAGCGGUGAAAUGCGUAGAUAUUAGGAGGAACACCAGUGGCGAAGGCGGCUUACUGGACUGUAACUGACGUUGAGGCUCGAAAGCGUGGGGAGCAAAC